rnacentral:rRNA from 1 species
GAUAGCUGUUUCUCAAGAAAAGAAUUUUAGUUCAACCUAAAGUAAAUAAUAUACAUUAAAAUUAUCUUAUACUUUAGAGUAAUUCAAAUAAGGUACAGCCUAUUUGAUAAGGGAUACAACCCCUACUAAUGGGUACAAUACUUAAAUCAUACCUUAAAGUAGGCCUAAGAGCAGCCAUCUUUUAAAAAGCGUCAAAGCUUAAUAAUAUGAUCACCAAUUUCUAAAUUUAAAUUCACCCCUUUUUUACUACUGAGAACUUCUAUAAUAUUAUAGAAAUUUUUAUGCUAAAACUAGUAACAAGAGGUAAUCCCUCUCUAUAAUGUAAACAUAAACCAGAAUGAACAAAUCACUGGUAAUUAACAAACUUAAUUAAAAGUAAUAACUCAUCUAGAAAACAUUACUUCACUUAUUGUUAACCUAACACAAGAACAUCCAAAGAAAGAUUAAAAGAAAAAGAAGGAACUCGGCAAAUAUUAACCCCGCCUGUUUACCAAAAACAUCACCUCUUGCUUUUAUAAGAGGCCAUGCCUGCCCAGUGACUCAUGUUUAACGGCCGCGGUAUCCUAACCGUGCAAAGGUAGCGUAAUCACUUGUCUUUUAAAUAAAGACUUGUAUGAAAGGCUUCACGAGAGUUGUACUGUCUCCUUUUUCUAAUCAGUAAACCUAAUCCCCCCGUGAAGAAGCGGGGAUAACUAUAUAAGACGAGAAGACCCUAUGGAGCUUAAAACAUAAUAACACCUGUUAACCCUUUUCUACUAUGGUAUUUACCCUUAUAUCAUGAUGAUUAUAUGUUUUCGGUUGGGGUGACCGCGGAGAACAAUCUAUCCUCCACGAUGAAAGAGUAUAUACCUUUAAACAAUAAGCCACAACUUUAAGUAUCAAAAAUUUGACAUAAAUGAUCCAAUACUUUGAUCAACGAACCAAGUUACCCUAGGGAUAACAGCGCAAUCCACUUUAAGAGUCCUUAUUAACAAGUGGGCUUACGACCUCGAUGUUGGAUCAGGGUAUCCUAGUGGUGCAGCCGCUACUAAAGGUUCGUUUGUUCAACGAUUAAAACCCUACGUGAUCUGAGUUCAGACCGGAGUAAUCCAGGUCAGUUUCUAUCUAUAACGGAGCUUUUUUCAGUACGAAAGGAUCUAAACAGCAUGGCCUAUACUCUUACAUGCCAUAAUUAAAUACUUUUGAUUAAACUAAAAAAAUUAUUAAUCCAUAAUUAAUUUACU